rnacentral:rRNA from 1 species
UACGAAGGGGGCUAGCGUUGUUCGGAUUUACUGGGCGUAAAGCGCACGUAGGCGGAUCGUUAAGUCGGGGGUGAAAUCCUGGAGCUCAACUCCAGAACUGCCUUCGAUACUGGCGAUCUUGAGUCCGGAAGAGGUGAGUGGAACUCCUAGUGUAGAGGUGGAAUUCGUAGAUAUUAGGAAGAACACCAGUGGCGAAGGCGGCUCACUGGUCCGGUACUGACGCUGAGGUGCGAAAGCGUGGGGAGCAAACAGGGAUUAAGAAACCCCAGUACGUC